rnacentral:rRNA from 1 species
GUGGGGAAUAUUGGACAAUGGGGGGAACCCUGAUCCAGCCAUGCCGCGUGUGUGAAGAAGGCCUUUUGGUUGUAAAGCACUUUAAGCGAGGAGGAGGCUACCGAGAUUAAUACUCUUGGAUAGUGGACGUUACUCGCAGAAUAAGCACCGGCUAACUCUGUGCCAGCAGCCGCGGUAAUACAGAGGGUGCAAGCGUUAAUCGGAUUUACUGGGCGUAAAGCGCGCGUAGGUGGCCAAUUAAGUCAAAUGUGAAAUCCCCAAGCUUAACUUGGGAAUUGCAUUCGAUACUGGUUGGCUAGAGUAUGGGAGAGGAUGGUAGAAUUCCAGGUGUAGCGGUGAAAUGCGUAGAGAUCUGGAGGAAUACCGAUGGCGAAGGCAGCCAUCUGGCCUAAUACUGACACUGAGGUGCGAAAGCAUGGGGAGCAAACAGGAUUAGAAACCCGAGUAGUCC